UACGUAGGUGGCAAGCGUUGUCCGGAUUUAUUGGGUUUAAAGGGUGCGUAGGCGGUCUAUUAAGUCAGUGCUGAAAUAUCCCGGCUUAACCGGGAGGGUGGCAUUGAUACUGAUGGACUUGAGUAAAGUUGAGGUAGGCGGAGUUGACGGUGUAGCGGUGAAAUGCUUAGAUAUCGUCAAGAACACCGAUAGUGUAGACAGCUUACUAAGCUUUAACUGACGCUGAGGCACGAAAGUGUGGGGAUCAAACAGG
rnacentral:rRNA from 1 species